UUCAAAUACAGAGCAUCCCUUUUGCCCUAGUGACAGGUCCACCCGUGGUACAACUCAGCAAAACCAUCUUCCUCAAGUCUGCAAGUACCAACAAGCUUCCAAGUGGCACAGGUGGUUUUUCUUGUCUUUGAGUCAACGUGGCAGAGACUUCAAGAGUCCAUGAGGGUGAUACAGAUUUUCCCGGGUUUUCUGACCAGUGAGGAAAGUGAUCCUAGAGAGACAUCAGUACGAGCGCCACCUCUAGUCCCAAUGGGAACAGCAGGAGACUCUCCAAGGUAGAUUCCUAGGCCCACCCACACUCUCCCACCCUGGACACUUCUUGGACCUGCUCUGGACCUGUGGCCCUGUGGUCUCAGGUAGGUGACGUGACCCAUGUGGGUUUCCUUGUCUGCAUGAUGGUUGGGUGACGACGCAUCAUGGGUUCCACCAGCUUUUUCCCUCCCAUUGUGAAGGAGGCCACGCCAUACAGCUCCCCACCCCACCCCUGCUCUAUAGCAUCAGCAGGGCCUCACGACUCUGACUCCUUUCUCUGGCCAAGUAGAAGGCUAAGGCCCGCAGGAGUUAACUUCACACAGGUGAUCUGUCUGAGAUCAUGUUGGAGGCCUGGGAGAGCUCCACUCGGCCCAUUUCAUUACAGCCUGCUCGCGUUCACCUGAGAAAGGGGCCCGUUUUCAAAAUCAUGGCUACUUCUCUAAAUCAGCAGACAGCAGCCUGAAGAUCACCCGUAAAUGUCUGCUGCACUGAGGGCUGUUUUGGCUAAUGGAAAAAGGACACCAAGUUGAAGAUCCAUCCAGCCUUUCUGCUUUCAGUGUCCUUGGAGCCAUCAGCAGCUGUGUCCCCCACAAAGCCCUGACACUACUCUGUGUGGUACUACUGAGCCUCCUUAAUGUCCCUCCUUGCUGUGAAAUCUUAGUGCUUCAGCCUCUUCUUGAUGGGUAUCUCACCUUGCCCUUGAAGGAGAGCUUUGCUCAGAAAAUAGAGUCCUGGGAGGUAAGGUGUGGUCUUCACCCUCCAAUAGAACCCACCUAUACUUAAGGGUCUCCAUGUUGCAGGGUCUGCAGAUAUCAGUUAGACUGGGGUCCUGUCUGGGCCAGCAACGGGCCUCUUAGAAAUACCUUAUCACAGCUGACCUUAGGUUCACGACUGGGCUUCUCUAAGAGGCCUGAUUAAUUCAUGGUGCCCCGUCGCCCAUAGCCACCCCGAGACACAAGGAUUUACUGUACCAGUUUAUUGCCAAGCUGUAUUAGUUGAUAAGCAGGAAACUCCAGACCAUCUGUUUAAAAAUAAAAAGUUAACAGCGGCACA
rnacentral:lncRNA from 1 species